AACAGCUGGGCUAAUCGAUUACAUUAAUCCUAAUGGCUUACAUCGCCUUGGUGUAUCCGAGGUAUCUACGGAAAACUCGUUCUGCAGCACAAACACAAGUGCAGCUGUCAUCAGACAUAGGCAUGAGAGCCACAACUACUGGAGCAUAAUUCGUGCCCUACUGACAAUGUUUGGAUCGAAACACUUCAUCCUGCUUGAUAACCAGGACUGGGAGAACAUGAAUAAGACCUUCUCGUAAGAACAACUAUUUUCGUUUCUUUCUAAAAAAUUAUUCCAGGGGCAAUUUUUAGCAAUUAUUGCUUUAGUGUAUGGCCCAGAAAAAAAUUAAGGUUUAGGACAAUUUAGGCGCCUGUCUUUCUACAUAGAAAGCUGAAUGAAUGCAGUCACCUCUAAAAUUGAAUUAUAUAUGCAACAAUGGACAUUUUGAAACUCUCUACUGUCAGUGUUAUCUAGUUUUAGAUAUGUUCGACAGCAGAAAGUGCAAAGGGAAUGAGUUACUGCGUGAUUACAA
rnacentral:lncRNA from 1 species